rnacentral:tRNA from 1 species
GAGGGUAUAGCUCAGUGGUAGAGCGCGUGCUUAGCACGCACGAUGUCCUGGGUUCAAUCCCCAGUCCCUCCA